UACGAAGGGGGGCUAGCGUUGCUCGGAAUCACUGGGCGUAAAGGGCGCGUAGGCGGCUCGCCGAGUCAGGGGUGAAAUCGUCCGGCUCAACCGGACAAGCGCUUCUGAUACUGUCGGACUAGAGUACGGAAGAGGCGAGUGGAAUUCCCGGUGUAGCGGUGAAAUGCGCAGAUAUCAGGAGGAACACCAAUUGCGAAGGCAGCUCGCUGGGACGUUACUGACGCUGGAGACGCGAAAGCGUGGGGAGCAAACAGG
rnacentral:rRNA from 1 species